GACGAACGCUGGCGGCGUGCUUAACACAUGCCAGUCGAACGGAAAGGCCCUGCUUUUGUGGGGUGCUCGAGUGGCGAACGGGUGAGUAACACGUGAGUAACCUGCCCUUGACUUUGGGAUAACUUCAGGAAACUGGGACUAAUACCGGAUAGGAGCUCCUGCUGCAUGGUGGGGGUUGGAAAGUUUCGGCGGUUGGGGAUGGACUCGCGGCUUAUCAGCUUGUUGGUGGGGUAGUGGCUUACCAAGGCUUUGACGGGUAGCCGGCCUGAGAGGGUGACCGGCCACAUUGGGACUGAGAUACGGCCCAGACUCCUACGGGAGGCAGCAGUGGGGAAUAUUGCACAAUGGGCGGAAGCCUGAUGCAGCAACGCCGCGUGCGGGAUGACGGCCUUCGGGUUGUAAACCGCUUUCGCCUGUGACGAAGCGUGAGUGACGGUAAUGGGUAAAGAAGCACCGGCUAACUACGUG
rnacentral:rRNA from 1 species